rfam:Ictidomys tridecemlineatus contig081023, whole genome shotgun sequence.
GUAGUUGUGGCUCAGUGGUAGAGCACUUGCCUCCCAUGUAUGAGGCCUUAGGUUCGAUCCUCAGCACCACA